AAAUCCGUGUGUCAAUCAAAUAAAUGAAAAAUUGAAAAGAGUACUAUUGGAAUAAUUUAAAUAUAACUUCGAUAAAAUCGUACUUAAAAUGAUUCUCAUCUCUAUUAAAGAUUUAACUAGAAUUACCUACAUGCAAUCUAACAAAGUCAUCUUUGCUUCCAUGAAACCUUAUUAACAUCUUUGAUAUUAAGGAAUAGAAAAUAAAUUAAAAUUUUAUAUUUUACACUUUCAAAUCUUAUCUAAGUAAUAAUGCAAUACUAGAUUAUCCUUAAACUCUAAUCGUGUUCUUAAAAAAAAUAAAUAAAUAAAAUUCCCAAGUGGUGGUGCUGCUUGUCUACUAGUGGCCGCUGGAUCGAAAUUUGGAUAUUAAUCUCACUAUCGAAUUAUUCAGUAUAAGAAUUGAGGAAAAAAAAAUUAAUAUUUAAGUGCAAUUGAUUGGCUAAACUCUUUCAAGAUAAGGCAGCCAGCACUGCCAUGAAGAAAACUGAUAAGAAUGAAUGGCGUGUACAAGAUGAUUUAUGCUCUAUGUACAGAGGAGGGGUUGACAGAACUCCUUUAGAUUAGACACAUGGGGUCCACCCACUGUUUUUGAUCCGAGAAUCUCAUCUUGUAUGUGUAGUCUCUUUUGUACGAGACAUGUUUGAAAGAUUAAUGAAUAACAACACAAGUUAUUGUCGAUUUUUUGACAAAGUUAAAAAUUGCUUCUAGACUUAGAAUUUUUUUUUUUUUUAAUGGCGGGGAAAUUCGCAACCGCUACCCUUCGAGUGCGCACUGGAUAAAUUCUCUAACUGACGCAAUAGCUUGCAAACCAUGCUAGUCAGGUAAAUUGCGCUAGACAAACCCUGUGCAACAGACUUGACUGAGAAAGUGUCGAUAGGGGGAAUCGAACUCGUGAUCAUAGGCCUUUGUGCUCACCCACUCCACCAACUCAACCACCCCAUGAGAGGCUAGAAAAUAUAUUUUGAACCUUUGUUUGGAUGAAAUAGUUUUUAAAGAAAGUUUAAGUAGUUUCUUCAUAAAAGUCUUCCGCAAGACGCAAAAUGAAAGUAGAAGCUUUAACAAAUAGGUCCUUAAUAUCAGUUUACGAAAUAGUGAAGUAUCUAAUUAAACAACAUGUAUUUUAAAUUCAUUAAAUAAUUAAAAAUCCUGCAAAUUUUUUGGUUUCAAAUCGUUGAUAUCUCUUAUAAACUUAGAAAUAAAAAUAAAUGGAAAUAUUUAUCAGGGAAAAAUUCGUAACUUGAUAAAUUACUACAUUCUCAAUCACUAAUAAAAGUUUGCAACUGAAUACCAAUGAAUUGUGAAAUGCCAAAGAGAGAGAAGAGAGAAGUUUGCCAUUUUUUGGAAGAAAAAUCAAGAGAAAAUAAAAGUCACGUGCUUCUCUCUCCUGCUGUUCAUAUCAAUAAAUGAUAGAAAAGUUUAAGCUAAUCUCAACCCUCCAUUUUGAUCAAUGGUCCAUGAUUUUUUCAAACAAACACACACCCUUGUGAAAAGUAAGUUGCCAAUAGAAAGUUGCCAUGUGGCCAACAAAUGGAGAAAAUAUUUUUUGUCACUUGUAAAAAACGUGAUUAAUGGGUUUUGAAAACAUUUCACAAGUUCAUUAGUACAUCCAACAGAGUUUUCAAUAUGGAGUAAUAUAUGCUCAUAGUGUCUUGGUUUUGCAUCAACAUUGCAAUACAUUGCUUCACUUCAUAGAUCCUAGGAGUGUCUUGUUGGGCAAGUCUCUGUUCAAGUUCCUGCCACAGUUGGGUGAGUAGUCUCAACAUAAAGGGUGCUACUCUUGAUGUCGAUAGACAUGGUAUUCUGCAACUAAGUGAUGAUGAUGUCAUUGCAACGAAGCCAAGGUGGCUCACGGAUACUUCCAUCAACAAAUCCCAGUUUGUUUUUUAUACGAAGGGCUCUUUUCAUUGAGCGUGCCCAAGAAUGAUAGUUACUUGUAUCAAGCAUUUGGGUGACAAGCAGAGCUCCAUUGCUGUCAUUGGGACUGAUAAAAUAUGGGCUAUUUGGUUCAAAUGGAUCAUAAGUGUCGGGAUUUGGAUUUGGAUUUGAAUCUGUAAGAGGAAGAGAAUUUGAGUUUUAAUCAUCAUUUGUGUUAGUAGGAUCAACUAUGUUGCUCUGAUACCAUAUAAGAACAAGCUCAGUAAUGAAAGAAUGCAAAGAAGGUAUUGAAACGCAACGUGUGAGAGAAAAUUAUGUAUGUAUUGUCAUUGAAUUUUAUGUGCACUAGAACACUAUAUUUAUACGGGGGAGUUACAAAAAAUCUGUUAAUAGAUGCUGUACAAGAAACAAAUUAAUAAGAAAAUAUUCUCCCCAACUAUACAAACAAUGAAACAGAAAAUGAAUUAGGUGGCCUUUGUGAAAUACUCUAAGGCUAUUCCUUUUGUAACCACCUGUGGUUCCUCUUUGCUGAUUUUUUUGCUAACUCAUGAUUGCCUAAUUGGCAUUUUGUAUUUCCUUAUUUAAACAAGCAGUCUUAUUGUAUUGUGAUAAUAAUGUUGCAUUACACAUAGCAGCAAAUCCGGUUUUUCAUGUGCGAACUAAGCACAUAGAGCUUGAUUGCCACUUAAUUCGUGAUAAAAUUCAAGAAGGGAGUAUUGUUACAAAAUAUGUAAAUAGUGGCUUACAAAUAGCAAACAUUCUAACGAAGGCAUUGGGUUCAAAUAAUUUUUACUCUCAUUUGCACAAGAUGGGGGUAGAAAAUAUGGACUCUCCAUCUUGUGGGGGUGUUGAAAGAAGGAAAUGCAAAAUGUCAAUUAGGCAGUUAUGAGUCAGCAAAGAAAAUUGGCAAAAAUGAACCACAUGGGUUUACAAAAGGAACGACUUUAGAGUAUUCCAGAAGGGUCAUCUAAAUCAUUUUCUGUUUCAUUGUUUGUAUAGUUGGGGAGAAUAUUUUCUGAUUAGUUUGUUUCUUGUACAACAUCUAUUAAUAGAUUUUUGGUAGCUCCCUUGUAUAAAUAUAGUGUUCUUGUGCACGUAGAAUUCAAUGAAAAUGCAUACAUAAUUUUCUCUCAAUUCAAGUUGCAUUUCAAUACUUUCUUUGCAUUCUUUCAUUAUUGAGCUGCUUCUUAUAGCAAGGAUCCUCUUCACCAAUCCCAGCCAGCAGCUAUUCAAAAUUAUCUCAUACCAACAUAAGAGAAGGUGUUCUGGAAGGGGAGAGGAUGGAAGUGGGAAAUGUGGGAGUAGUGAUCGACGCCACUGCCAGAGGAGAGGAAACAUCGGGUGAAAAAAUCAAUCAAAGUUCCUGCCAUAAGCAACAACUUAGCUGAUAUACCUCCUGAUGAGUAUUCAUGGGGGAAGUAUGGACAGAAGCCAAUCAAAGGUUCUCCUCACCCAAGGGGACACUACAAAUGUAGUAGCAUGAGAGGCUGUGCUUGGAUGAUCCUUCAAUGCUUAUUAAAUAUCACAUUUAAUAAUAACUAGCAUGCCUUGCUCCUAACCUGAAGUUGGAAGUACAUUCUUGGAUAGAUAGUCCUACCCGUCGAUGGCAUGACUUGGUAGUUUCAUGGUUUUGCUGAGUCUAGUUCUGCAUUUUUGCAGGGGAUACUACAAAUAUAGUAGCAUGAGAGGCUGUGCUUGGAUGACCUUCAAUGCUGAUUGUUACUUGCGAAGGUGAACAUAAUCACCCUAAGUUUCCGUCACAAGUCUGCCAACACUAGAAAUCUUGGGGAAAGAUUUUCAGAGAGCACAUCAAGACGCCUUUAAAAUUAUUUCUUACAUAUCCUUUCUACCCUCAUUGCUCUUCUUCUUGUUUGCUUGGUUUAAGCUCGUGGUACAUAUGGGGUUGGAUUCUGGUUCUGAAUGAUUUGACUCCUAAAUGUUGUCAAGACAAAAACAAAAUCCAGAAUAGAAGAGUUAUUUGGAUGUUGGGGGUGACUCAUUGUACAAAAAAAUUCAAUCAGUCGUAAUCGACUUAUUUUUCAAGAAUUUAGAGUUUCCUGCUGGUUCCCUUGUGGUUCGACUCUUUACAUUUUUUUC